rnacentral:rRNA from 1 species
AACUCCGCAAUUAAGCGCGCUUGGGCUAGAGUAGUACUGGGAUGGGUGACCUCCCGGGAGGUGCUGGUGUUGCACCCU